rfam:Asian citrus Psyllid, Diaphorina citri - Florida Strain, whole genome shotgun sequence.
GCCUAGUUAGCUUUAGUUGGUAGUGCGUCUGCCUUGUAAGCGCUAGGCCGCGGGUUCGAUUCCCGCCCGGGGCG